AUUGAACGCUGGCGGCAGGCCUAACACAUGCAAGUCGAGCGAGCGGCGGACGGGUGAGUAAUGUCUGGGAAAAUGCCUGAUGGAGGGGAUAACUACUGGAACCGGUAGCUAAUACCGCCUCCCGUCAGAUGUGCCCAGAUGGGAUUAGCUAGUAGGUGGGGUAACGGCGCACCUAGGCGACGAUCCCUAGCGGGUCGGAGAGGAGGACCAGCCACACUGGAACGGAGACACGGGCCAGACUCCUACGGGAGGCAGCAGUGGGGAAUAUGGCACAAUGGGCGCAAGCCUGAUGCAGCCAUGCCGCGUGGGUGAAGAAGGCCUUCGGGUUGUAAAGCACUUUCAGCGGGGAGGCGUUACCCGCAGAAGAAGCACCGGCUAACUCCGUGCCAGCAGCCGCGGUAAUUC
rnacentral:rRNA from 1 species